UAUUGCAUUAGCGUCGAUUUGAAAUUCAGCUUGCGGACGCUCAAAAAUUUUUUUUUGAAAAUACGGCUAAAGCGGAU
rnacentral:misc_RNA from 1 species